GGAAGGCACGCUGCACUGCACGUGAGAUCCUCAAAUCCCCCUUCCUGAUCCCUGUUGAGGAGGCGACAGUCCACUCUGCAAACCCUGCACAUUAGCCCAGAACUAACUUGUCACCAGAUGGGCCGUAUUUAAGUGUGAUGCUUCAGACUGGAUUCAAGCAGAACAGGAACCCAGGAGACAAUUACAGCUUUCUGUCUUGGCGAGUGGGGGUGGGGAGAGGAGCAGAGGAACAGGGACAAGCGGGCUCUGUGCUCCAUCCAUGACCCUGAGAUCCUGACCCGAGCUGAAAUCAAGAGUUGGAGGCUUAACCGGCUGAGCCCCCCAGGGGCCCCAUUGAAAGAAGAAUCUUAGAGGAUCCGAACCAUUUUACAGGUUCCGUGGCGAUCCGUGGCGACCCCUGGCGACCCUCCGCUGGCAGCUGCAUCACUGUGACCUCCAUUGUCACACGCGUCCCCCUGGUGUGUCCGCAUCUUCACGUGAUCUGUUCUUCCAAGGACACCAGUCACAUUGGGUUGAGGGCCUGCUCCACACCAGGAUGACCGCACCUUGACUUCAUGACUUGCAUCAUAAUGACCGUAUAUGGGCUUUCUCUUGGUUGACUCAUUUUGUACGCCGUGCCAGAAGGUGCUCUGGACUCCUUUCAAGGAGUCGGUCAGUGGGAUCCUUAGAGAACGUGUUCUGUGCGUUCUCUGAGCAGCCCGCCAGCUGGUGCUCACCCGUGUGACACCCCCCCGGCCCCGUGUGAGCAUGCCGUGGGGAGGGCAAGCCGCCGCCAGACCCAGCAAGGUCCUCGCCUCGCUGGCCGACUCUAGGGCCCCUCUCCCCCACGUCGGGUUGAUGAAUACUGGCCUCGUAUCUCUGUUCCAUUUUAUAAUUGUUUAUUGUGGAUGACAGCUGGGUUUUCUGCAGUGUUAACAUUAUUCCCAAAAAACUAUUAUUUCUCUGUAAA